UAUACUGUAAAUCUUUAUAGAUGUCCUUCGAGUGCUCGCCAAAAUCCUUUUUGUCCCAGCCGAUAGGUCUUUAGAUGCUACAGAGAACCCUAAACAACCCAAUCUACUAAUCUUCGAUAUCGCUUUAUACUCAUGACCUUGUAUCCACUGACUGUCUUGUUAGAUUAACCCAAAAAUUUUCAUUCAUUCCGCAUACUCAAUCCUAUAGACACUCUUUUAAUUCUUCAAUCACAGAUGUAAUUUUGAUUUCACAAAACAGUCAAGAGUAAUCACACCCACUUCAUUAAAACCCCGAUUCACUAGUAGAACACAUCGGCUUUCAGCAACGAUUGCCUCCGUCUUCCCAAAACCCUAUGAAGAAAAAAAAAACCCCAAUUCUCUGUCUUUUUUUCCACUCCCAAGCAUGAAGCUAG
rnacentral:lncRNA from 1 species